GACGAACGCUGGCGGCGUGCUUAACACAUGCAAGUCGAAGAUAGUGGCGAACGGGUGAGUAAUACGUAGUAACCUGCCCUCCUUUUUGGGAUAAGCCUUUGAAACGGGGUCUAAUACCGAAUAAAGGGUGAUGGGCUCGCGGCCUAUGAGCUUGUUGGUGGGGUGAUGGCCUACCAAGGCGGUGACGGGUAGCCGGCCUGAGAGGAUGAUCAGUCACACUAGAACUGAGAAACGGUCCAGGCUCCUACGGGAGGCAGCAGUGGGGAAUAUUGGACAAUGGGCGAAAGCCUGAUCCAGCCAGGCCGCGUGUGUGAAGAAGGUCUUCGGAUUGUAAAGCACGUUAAGUUGGGAGGCGUUACCAACAGAAUAAGCACCGGCUAACUUCGUGCCAGCAGCCGCGGUAAUUC
rnacentral:rRNA from 1 species